rfam:Euryarchaeota archaeon TMED129 2418, whole genome shotgun sequence.
GAUGGUUUCUUGCUUUACCUAAGAGCAAGUGGUGCGGAUGGAGGUAACACUCCCGCCCUGUUUCUUGCUUCAGGUAAAAGAGUAAGUGGCGAGCCUGCAA